UUUUGAAUUUUCCUUCAACAAUCCCCCCACAAAAUUCAAAAUCUCGAAAAAAAGAAUUAAACUCAAAAUAAAUCAAUAGAUCACCAGGUGUUUAUACUAUACAAUAGGUAAGGUGUCUUUAAGAGACUUAACCUUACUUAGUGUAAAUAGUUUUCAUCAGAAGGAAUUGAAGUGAACCAGAUCUUGAACUACGUUCCUUUGACCCUGACUUCAACUACUACACACACAGUAUAGAAUUCUCCGUCGCGAGUCUGUACGUUAAUGGCCAUACACAGUAUCUUGAUUUUUUAUAAGAGUUUCUAUUGAUAGCCCAUUCACAUAGCCGCGGUCACAUUCGGAUACUCUUAUAUAGGUGGCUUCUUUCAGGGAUGUGUGUAGAGUCAUAUCUCGCGAAAAUUAUUGACUCGGAUCCCAUUAAGAGCUAUCAGCUGAACCUCAAUCACUACACAGAGCACUACUCAUUAUAGGGAUGGGAUUGAAGCUAAAACUCCUCUAUAUAACUGUAGAAAGUGCUCUUUGGCCAACCCGCCAGCUUGUUUUUACCACAUUGAACAUUUUUCAAGAGAUCUCCUAUUUUGGAUUCCCACUGCAGGAAGGCUCUUUAUGGGCAAAAUCUCAUUCCCCUCGAUGACACCAGAACUUUAGUUCUAUUUACGGUUUUCGUCAAGUAAUCUGCAAGAUUCUAAUCAGAUCUGAUAAAACUCAAAUAAGUAACAUUAUGAAAAAUUAACCAUAUAAUAAAUUUAUGUCACAAUAUAAUUUAUCUGCCAACUUUAGAAUUUACCAAAUUCUUUUCCAAAAAAAACAUUAAAAUUAAAAGAGAUAAAAGUACGAGAGCGAUAAUAAUAUCAAAAUUUAUCAACAGAUAAAAGAGUUCCCCCCACAAGUUUUGAGAUACAACUAAAAUUUAAAAUCAUGAAAUUUAAUCAUGUUGAAUAAAGUUCGAUUCAACAGCAAAUAGAUACUCCAAAUAAUUUAAAAAAUUUGAUUUCAAUUAGGUAAUUUUGAGAAAAUAACAUAUGCAAUCAAAUAAUAUCUAUGCAGCAAACUGAUUUUAAAAGUUGCUGAAAUAAUAGGAAAAAUAGAAUUUAGAAAUAGUGUUGCAGGUUAGGUGUUGUUGAAAUAGUAGAAUUUAGAAAAAUAAUUUAAAUAGAAUUUAGAAUUUAGAAAUAGAAUUUAGAAAUAGUGUUGCUGAAAUAACAUAUGCAAUCAAAUAAGA
rnacentral:lncRNA from 1 species